UACGUAGGGUGCGAGCGUUAUUCGGAAUUACUGGGCGUAAAGCGUGCGCAGGCGGUCGUGCAAGACAGAUGUGAAAUCCCCGGGCUUAACCUGGGAACUGCAUUUGGGACUGCAAGGCUUGAGUACGGCAGAGGGGGGUAGAAUUCCUGGUGUAGCAGUGAAAUGCGUAGAUAUCAGGAGGAAUACCGAUGGCGAAGGCAGCCCCCUGGGUCGAUACUGACGCUCAUGCACGAAAGCGUGGGGAGCAAACAGG
rnacentral:rRNA from 1 species